UAGAAUCGAAAAAUCUCUUUCCCUUUGCCUUUAUUGAUCGCUUGAUCAGUCCAAGUCAAAAGUUUCGAUGAGAUACAACCGGAUUCAGGCAAGAUGAAGAACAUAAUACUAGUGUUAACCAUGCUGAUCGUUGCGAUUCAGCUCACCAAUGGAUUUUCUACAACCCGGAACGUUCUUUCGGCAUCUACAGAACAGUCAUUAGCAUCAGAACAGAUAGUUAAUACUAGUACCGUUAAAACGCCAGUACCGUUCGAUCCCCUACGAUGGCUUAUCUCAAAAUCGGGAGCGCUGUUCAGUCGUGGAGUUCACUGAAAAGUUAACAAAUGGAAAAGUAUCAUUACGUUGCGUGCAGUUCAACUAUUAGUUCUUACACCUGUUGGAUAAUAUCUCUACAAACAACAAUCCGUCCCGCACCCGACGUUACGCAACUGCAUUCAAAAACAAUCGCACAAAUCGUGCGCUAGAAGCAACAACAACAACAAUAAACAGGCUCAAUUCAAACACUGGGACAGAAGCCAAAUUUCACGUGCCGACGCUGAGAAGUUAACCAUCGCAACGUGUUCGGAAUGGUUUAGAUAGAUGAUGCUUCCAGGCAUUACCAGCUUUUUCGUGUUGUUUUGUAUCAACAAGAGGUUUAUUUGUUAAAACUUCGACCUACUCUACCUUAAUGGCAACUUGUUCACCAAUACUUGUACAGGAAAGUUUGUAACAUGACAUUUUCACACUAGGUGAACUACAAAAGAAAACAUUUCAUGUUC